UACGUAGGGUGCAAGCGUUGGUCCGGAAUUAUUGGGCGUAAAGAGCUUGUAGGCGGUUUGUCGCGUCUGCUGUGAAAUUUCGGGGACCGUCAACCCCGAACGUUGCAGUGGGUACAGGGCAGACUAGAGUGUGGUAGGGGAGACGUGGAAUUCCGAUUGUGUAGCGGUGAAAUGCGCAGAUAUCAGGAGGAACACCGAUGGCGAAGGCAGGUCUCUGGGCCACUACUGACGCUGAGAGCGAAAGCAUGGGGAGCGAACAGG
rnacentral:rRNA from 1 species